ensembl:ncRNA H36N01.4 ncRNA
UUUUCCGUCUCAAAGUUCAUAAAACAGUUUUGCACUUUCUCGUAAACAACUCUCGCAUGGGGUCGCUCAGAAGUUGAUCUCUGAAACCUCUGUCGCCGGCCGCCAACCAACGAGAAAAAAAAGCAUUCCCAAUGUCCUCUUUUCUAUUUUUUUUUUCUUCAUAUUAUUUCUCAAGGAAAGACAUAUCGGUUUACUUUUCCAUCAUUUGACGAGAACAUGUGAUGGAAAAAAUGGUGGAAAAGUGGGCAAAAAUGGAUUGUGAUA